rnacentral:lncRNA from 1 species
AGACACUUCUCCUCCACAACAUGCAUUGUUAAUCAUUAAAAACUUUUUCCAAGGAGCCCUAUGAAUGUUGAUGGACAUGGGUUCCAAAGGUGAUUGAACAAUCUCGUACAGUAAGUCUUAAUUCAUCAGAACUGUCAAACGCACUUCUGUAACGCAACAAGCCACUGAGCUACUCUCCUGUUUUUGACUGGGAUAGGUUUUUGUUCUUAGCCUGAGAGGAGGAGGUUGUAUGCUGCAUUUUUUACAUCUUUCCCUUGGCCUUUCCAGAUGCUGGAGGCUUUCCCAGCUAUCACUCGCUGUUGGAAAAUGUGAUUUCCCUUGAUCCCCCCAGCAGUGAUGGCUCUCAUACCAGCCUGCUGCUAGAGAAGAAGCUCUGCUCUUUCCUGGACAGCCUCAAGCAAUGCUUCAGAGAGAUGCCACAAGUUUUUGCUGUUAAUUGGAGCACAGACAGUAAGUGUGGAAAGCAUUUAGUCUGUUUCAACACACCCUCCACCUGGCAAGUUUCUGAAAUACCAGCAUAUCAGCAAUGGGUAAAAUCUGAUGGUGUUUGCUUUCUUCAAGGCUAUGUCAGUGCAUGUUGA